AAAAGAAAUAGCAACAACAACAAACUGAAGGUGCUGUCUUGCUGUCUCUCCUCCUUCCUACAUGCCAGGAUGAAAGUGAAUGAGUCACUCAAAACGUGCCAGCCUCUCAUGCCUGUGUGGCGCCCUCCUAGUCUUCUAGUUACUCCCCUCCUUAGAGACAGUCAGUCGAGAAUUCCUGAAAUUCUGAAAGGCCCUCAACAGCUCUCAACAAGGCCUUCACAGUGAAAACAGACAGAAAAUGUGCUGCUGCUCCAGCAAUCUUUCUGAUUGUCAGAAACAGGAAAAUAGCGUAAUUUCCCGUGAAAUGCCAGUAUCAGCAUGACCUCUUAGUACCAUGCGGUGCCAUUCGGCUGUGGUUCCGGGGCCUCUCACUUUGGGGUGCUUCUGGUGCCAAGUAGGUGCUGUCUUGAUUCUUCAAGAUGAUGAAUGGUCUUCUAAGUGCCUGUACAGAGCUUAAGAGACAAACACCACAGCACGGAACACCCUGUGCCAGAUCGCACACAACCGCCAAAUCACAUCCGCCCCUAUCUCUCUGGAUGAUCCUCUCCCCCAACCCCCAAUCUAGGCCUGGCAUCUUGCCCUGAGUCUCAGCCAACUGGACAUUAACAGGCCACGAUGAGGAGAGAACUCCAGAUAUGUUCC
rnacentral:lncRNA from 1 species